CCUACGGGAGGCAGCAGUGGGGAAUAUUGCACAAUGGGGGAAACCCUGAUGCAGCGACGCCGCGUGAGUGAAGAAGUAUUUCGGUAUGUAAAGCUCUAUCAGCAGGGAAGAAAAUGACGGUACCUGAUUAAGAAGCCCCGGCUAACUACGUGCCAGCAGCCGCGGUUAUACGUAUGGGGCAGGCGUUAUCCGGAUUUACUGGGGGUAAAGGGAGCGUAGACGGCAGCACAAGUCUGGAGGGAAAUGCCGGGGCUUAACCCCGGAACUGCUUUGGAAACUGUGCAGCUAGAGUGCAGGAGAGGUAAGUGGAAUUCGUAGUGUAGCGGUGAAAUGCGUAGAUAUUAGGAGGAACACCAGUGGCGAAGGCGGCUUACUGGACUGUAACUGACGUUGAGGCACGAAAGCGUGGGGAGCAAACAGGAUUAGAUACCCUAGUAGUC
rnacentral:rRNA from 1 species